rnacentral:lncRNA from 1 species
GGAGGACAGGAUGUGUAAUUUUGAAAUAUAAAUUGACUUUCAUUGGUAUUGUUUAUACUUUAUAGGCUCGCUGGUUCAGAUUUAAUCAUGUGAUCUGCAUCCGCUCCAAUGAAAAACUCAUUGGCCUUCAAUUAGUAUAAGAGAUUGGAUAAAGAGCCGGAGCAACAGACGAUGUAACCAAUUCUGUGGUGAGUUCACAGGGCCGAGGAGGAAAGAAAUAAACAGGAGCAACAACAAAACCGAAAGCAGCCAAAGAUCAAAAGUAACAUCCGGCACAAAAUAAUGAAGAUCAAUUCGACAUAGCAGUGACCAAGAAAGAAUAGAAAUAGGCCGGGAUUGUGUUGAUCACAGAAAGUGACAAAGUGCGGUAGAUGAAAUCGCUAAUCCCUCACACCAUACUACAAGGUUUUAUUAGUAAUUAGUUAAUAGAUAGUUUUGUUCUACAAUAAAGAUAGUUAUGGAAGUACAAGGACCAAAGGUGACAAGAUGGAAGGUUGUAACCAAAAAAUUAAAGGAUGCGACUUCUCACUAGAGUCGCACCUGUUGACAUCAACGACAUCAAGCAAACAAGAAAGAGACACACCUAUUCGCGAAGAGACACGUCUUUUCAUUCGCACCUUUUAGAUUAAUAUAAAUAGGGUUUCAAUUUCAAUGUAAAAAUACUUAUGUAUUCAAUAUUCAAGUUAUAUUCAAGUUCUCUUAUUC